UACGGAGGAUGCGAGCGUUAUCCGGAUUUAUUGGGUUUAAAGGGUGCGUAGGCGGCGCUUCAGGUCAGCGGUGAAAUACCGGGGCUCAACCCCGGGGCUGCCGUUGAAACCGGAGCGCUAGAAUUCCGAUGCCGUCGGAGGAAUGUGUGGUGUAGCGGUGAAAUGCAUAGAUAUAACUUAGAACUCCGAUAGCGAAGGCAGCUUACCAGACUGCGACUGACGCUGAAGCACGAGAGCGUGGGUAGCGAACAGG
rnacentral:rRNA from 1 species